AUGGGUUUCAUGAAUCACCAUAUCCAGAGAUUCGUCGACACAGCUUGUUGCGAGAUAAUCUUCAGUUACCAUAUAACUGGAAUUAACCAAUGCAAGUCGAAGAAGGAUUGGUCGGUGCUGCCGGAUGGCGUCAAGUUCGAUCCCACGUAUCAGGAGCUGAUCGAGCACCUUGAGGCCAAAGUGAGUGCUGACAGCGCGAGAUCUCACCCUCUCAUCGAUUUGUUCAUACCAACCAUCGACACCGAGCACGGCAUAUGCUACACCCAUCCUGAGAAAUUUCCAGGUAUAACACUGAGUGGCCUAAGCAAGCAUUUCUUCCAGCGUAAUUCCAGGGCGUUCAAAAGGGGCACGUGGACGCGUCGCAAGAUACAGUCGGAGUGCGGCAUGCACGCGAUGUGGCACAACACCGACAAUACCUUGCCGGUGAUGGUCAACGGCCGGCAGGCGGGCAGCAAAAAGGUUCUGGUGCUGCACACCAACAAGAACUUCGACUAG
rnacentral:rRNA from 1 species